UGGGGAAUAUUGGACAAUGGGCGCAAGCCUGAUCCAGCCAUGCCGCGUGAGUGAAGAAGGCCCUAGGGUUGUAAAGCUCUUUCAACGGUGAAGAUAAUGACGGUAACCGUAGAAGAAGCCCCGGCUAACUUCGUGCCAGCAGCCGCGGUAAUACGAAGGGGGCUAGCGUUGUUCGGAAUUACUGGGCGUAAAGCGCACGUAGGCGGAUCGGUCAGUUAGGGGUGAGAUCCCAGGGCUCAACCCUGGAACUGCCUUUAAUACUGCCGAUCUGGAGUCCGGAAGAGGUGAGUGGAAUUCCGAGUGUAGAGGUGAAAUUCGUAGAUAUUCGGAGGAACACCAGUGGCGAAGGCGGCUCACUGGUCCGGUACUGACGCUGAGGUGCGAAAGCGUGGGGAGCAAACA
rnacentral:rRNA from 1 species